rnacentral:tRNA from 1 species
GCUUUGAUAGUUUAUAAAAAACACUGGUCUUGUAAUCCAGAAAAGGGCCAUGAUGCCCUCAAAGCU